CAGUCGCCGCGGUAAUACGAAGGGGGCUAGCGUUGCUCGGAAUUACUGGGCGUAAAGGGAGCGUAGGCGGACAUUUAAGUCAGGGGUGAAAUCCCAGAGCUCAACUCUGGAACUGCCUUUGAUACUGGGUGUCUUGAGUGUGAUAGAGGUAUGUGGAACUCCGAGUGUAGAGGUGAAAUUCGUAGAUAUUUGGAAGAACACCAGUGGCGAAGGCGACAUACUGGAUCAUUACUGACGCUGAGGCUCGAAAGCGUGGGGAGCAAACAGGAUUAGAUACCCGUGUAGUCCCUGUCUAUUAUAA
rnacentral:rRNA from 1 species